AGUGAACGCUGGCGGUAGGCCUAACACAUGCAAGUCGAACGGCAGCACAGUAAGAGCCUGCUCUUACGGGUGGCGAGUGGCGGACGGGUGAGGAAUACAUCGGAAUCUACUUUUUCGUGGGGGAUAACGUAGGGGAACUUACGCUAAUACCGCAUACGACCUACGGGUGAAAGCAGGGGAUCUUCGGACCUUGCGCGAUUGAAUGAGCCGAUGUCGGAUUAGCUAGUUGGCGGGGUAAAGGCCCACCAAGGCGACGAUCCGUAGCUGGUCUGAGAGGAUGAUCAGCCACACUGGAACUGAGACACGGUCCAGACUCCUACGGGAGGCAGCAGUGGGGAAUAUUGGACAAUGGGCGCAAGCCUGAUCCAGCCAUACCGCGUGGGUGAAGAAGGCCUUCGGGUUGUAAAGCCCUUUUGUUGGGAAAGAAAAGCAGCAGGUUAAUACCCCGCUGUUCUGACGGUACCCAAAGAAUAAGCACCGGCUAACUUCGUG
rnacentral:rRNA from 1 species